UACGGAGGGGGCGAGCGUUGUCCGGAUUUAUUGGGCGUAAAGAGCUCGUAGGCGGUUCCGUAAGUCAGAUGUGAAAACUCAGGGCUCAACCCGGAGACGCCAUCUGAUACUGCGGUGACUGGAGUCUGGUAGGGGAACACGGAAUUCCUGGUGUAGCGGUGAAGUGCGCAGAUAUCAGGAGGAACACCGAUGGCGAAGGCAGUGUUCUGGGCCAGUACUGACGCUGAGGAGCGAAAGCGUGGGGAGCAAACAGG
rnacentral:rRNA from 1 species